ACGAUCAAUCCCGGAAAGUCCCCUUCGGAAGGAUCAUAUACAGUUAGCCAGUUCCAUGUUCUUCUACGUGGUUGUCUCCCAUCCAACAAUGGAUGCCAGGGGCGAGGGUUUAGUCUCUCUUUUGUGGUGUACCGACACCCGUAUAAGUCGUUUAUUCCGGCAUAUAUGCUAGCACGGACGACUGUGUGGAUUUACCAUCACACGGAGAACUACCACGGGAAACACAAUCGAGAAUCAGUUGAGAUGCACGUCAGAGAAGAUAAAGAAAAACGAGGGAAGAUCAAAUUUUAUUCAAAAUUAGAAGUGUUAAGGGAGCCGAAAUGAUUGGAGGUAUCGAUAGAUGAAACGAAUACGUGAAAGCAGGAACGUAUGAAUGGCCAUUCCAAUGCGAUGUUACGCGUGUAUACUUUGCAAUGGUUCAUCGAUCGUGACGUAGCCGCUGGCGAAGUUUGUAACCUUUUGUGGCAAUACGGUAUCAGGCUGUACGCAAUUACGCAG